AGGCAAAUCCGCUGUAACAAUUCUGAGGCGUGAUGGGGAAGGCCAUAUAGGCCGAAGUACAUGAUUCCAUGCUUCCAAGAAAAGCAUCUAGAGAGAGAAGUAGUGCCCGUACCGCAAACCGACACAGGUAGAUGAGGAGAGAAUCCUAAGGCCGGCGGAAGAAUUGCAGUUAAGGAACUAGGCAAAUUGACCCCGUAAGUUCGCGAGAAGGGGUGCCUGCGAGAGCAGGCCGCAGAGAAUAGGCCCAAGCAACUGUUUAGCAAAAACACAGGUCUCUGCUAAAGCGCAAGCUGAUGUAUAGGGGCUGACGCCUGCCCGGUGCUGGAAGGUUAAGGGGAAUACUUAGCGCAAGCGAAGGUAUGAACUUAAGCCCCAGUAAACGGCGGCCGUAACUAUAACGGUCCUAAGGUAGCGAAAUUCCUUGUCAGGUAAGUUCUGACCCGCACGAAUGGCGUAAUGACUUGGGCACUGUCUCAACUGCAAAUCCGGCGAAGUUGUAGUGCGAGUGAAGAUGCUCGCUACCCGCGAUUGGACGGAAAGACCCCGUAGAGCUUUACUGCAGCUUAGCAUUGAAUUCCGGUAUUGUCUGUACAGGAUAGGUGGGAGACUGGGAAACUAGGGCGUCAGCCUUAGUGGAGUCAACCUUGGGAUACCACCCUGACAGUACUGGGGUUCUAACAGGACGCCAUGAAUCUGGUGACUGGACAUUGUUAGGUGGGCAGUUUGACUGGGGCGGUCGCCUCCUAAAAAGUAACGGAGGCGCCCAAAGGUUCCCUCAGAACGGUCGGAAAUCGUUCGUAGAGUGCAAAGGCAGAAGAGAGCCUGACUGCGAGACCUACAAGUCGAGCAGGGACGAAAGUCGGGCUUAGUGAUCCGGUGGUACCUCGUGGGAGGGCCAUCGCUCAACGGAUAAAAGCUACCUCGGGGAUAACAGGCGGAUCUCCCCCAAGAGUCCACAUCGACGGGGAGGUUUGGCACCUCGAUGUCGGCUCGUCGCAUCCUGGGGCUGUAGUAGGUCCCAAGGGUUGGGCUGUUCGCCCAUUAAAGCGGCACGCGAGCUGGGUUCAGAACGUCGUGAGACAGUUCGGUCCCUAUCCGUCGCGGGCGUAGGAAAUUUGAGAGGAGCUGUCCUUAGUACGAGAGGACCGGGAUGGACUGACCUCUGGUGCACCAGUUGUUCCGCCAGGAGCACGGCUGGGUAGCUAAGUCGGGAAGGGAUAAACGCUGAAAGCAUCUAAGCGUGAAGCCUCCCUCAAGAUGAGAUUUCCCAUAGCAUAAGCUAGUAAGACCCCUUGAAGAACACAAGGUUGAUAGGUCAGAGGUGUAAGUGCGGUAACGUAUGUAGCUGACUGAUACUAAUAGGUCGAGGGCUUGACC
rnacentral:rRNA from 1 species